CCAAGCUGGGCUCAAAUCUGGUUCUUCUGCCUCAGCCUCUCAGAAUGCUGGAAUUACAAAAAAUCUCUCUUUUUAAAGGAAUUUCUCUCUGCCUCAUGAUGUACAGUCCCUUUCCACAAUGUUGGAGAAGAAGCUGGGCCUUGUGUCUGCACCUGCAUAUUCCUACAACUUUUCAGAGUCCUUUGGGCAGUGACUGAGGAGAUAAACCAUGCAGGAAACAUUG
ensembl:snoRNA SNORA73 Small nucleolar RNA SNORA73 family